UGUGUAUAAAUAACUCAUUUAUCAAAAGAAAUAUUAAUUAAUGUGAAAAAAAAUAUAUUAUUUCUCUCUACUGAUACUUCAUUAAAAUUAAAUUCAAAAGUAAAUGAUACUUCAUUAAAAUUAAAUUCGUAUUCAACCAGGAAAGAAAGAAGACGCAAAAACAGAGAAGCAAUCAUCUGUUCUUUGAGGUGCCAUUUUUAUUCUUCGAAGAAUCCCGAUGCACCUUAUAAUUCAUCGGUAAGAGCUCAUCUAUUUAUCAAUAUUUUCUUUUAAAUUUUCCUGCAAAGUCUUCGUUGUCAUGAAUAGAAACCCUAUACAUCCUUUCUACAAUAGUUCUUUAUUCACUCUAUCUAUGAUAUAUGAGAAUUUGGGUUAUUAGCCAUGAGGCAGUUCAAUGGUAGUCGCAGAAUUCGUGGAUUCAUCAGCGAAUUAUGUACCCUGGUCAUAGUUUUCUUGUUUUACAACCGGGGAGAUAUUACGAGGAACCCAGUGCUUAGGCAAUCAAACCUAAUUUCGGGCAGCGGGUUUUGUGGUGGGUCAAAUCAUAGGUCAGUAAUUCACCAUCAUCUACAUCCACUAGUACAACCACUACCCAAUUCAUAAUAAGCCGAAUUUUCGCUUACCUGUGCAGCCCAAAAAGACUCAUGGCUAGAGGCGGAGAAUAGAUCUAUAUGACCUAGAACUAUCAUCGAGGCUAGAGAGUAGCAAAGAAUGAUGAUGAUUCAGAUCUAUGACUAGCGCUAGAGAGAGGCGAAGAAGAGAUGGCCAAGAUCUACAAAUGAUUUUGGGUUUAUGGAUAGUUUUGUUUUUGAAAAUUUAAUGUAUAUAGAUGAUUUUGUUUGGUGAUAUUUUAUUUGGGGAGAAGAUGAUGAACAAUGGGUUGUGAUUUAUUUUGAUAUUAUCUUUAAUUUAUUAUAUUAUUGAAUAGAAAUUAUUGGAAUGUUUGGGUCGGGUUAAUUGGUGGUGGGUUGGUCAUUAUUAGGUGGGCAUUAACUUGCAUGUCAAAAAGAAGCUUCCAAAUCGGAUUCAGUAAAUAUGUGGCAUUUUCACGUAAAUAUUCUGUUAAAAUAGUUAACCCCACUGACGGAAAUUCAAAUUUGUGUUAGAAAAGUAUAGUUAGUUGACUGUAAGAAAAGAAAAAUUAGUUAGUUGACUGUAAGUUAACCUAAAAUAGAGUGAUUAAAAAAACAUUAUCCCAAUAAAGAUAUUAUCAAUAUCCCAUUAGCCACAGGACUGAAAUUUUGAGAAGGAAAAAACAGUAACAGAUUAGAUGGGCACAGAGAAGAAAGAUAAGCUCAAGGUAAAUUGAUUACUGAAAGAAAGUGAUCAUGCUGCAAAUAACCUUUCUUUUUAGGGGAAUUUUGUUGUCAAAAAAUUUCUUUCCCAGUACACCAAGAGUAUGCUUCUCACUGUGUCUCCCAGUUUUAGUAACCUGACUGGAGGUUGACCCAGAUGUUUCCACGGUUGAAUUCUCUGGAGACGUAAUGUUCUGUCUAGGUAGAUUCUUGUCAAUAACCCCUGAGAGAAUAGAUUUCAGAAAUUUAUAUAACAAAAUGGGUUUUCAAAUGAAAUCUAUGUGCACUUGAAGUGAAAAAGAAACAAAUGAGCAGGAAAAAAUAUAGAAACAGGAAAUGCAGAAAGAAUAUGGCCAAAUANNNNNNNNNNNNNNNNNNNNNNNNNNNNNNNNNNNNNNNNNNNNNNNNNNNNNNNNNNNNNNNNNNNNNNNNNNNNNNNNNNNNNNNNNNNNNNNNNNNNUAAUAAGAUAAUUACAAAUUAAAUAAGAGAACUGCAAAUUAAAGAAACUAAAUAAUUUCUAAUUCACGGGCUUCCAAAGCUUCUUAUAUUGUUUUAACCAACUUUCACGGGCUCGUCCUACACCAGUUCUCCUCCGCUGAAAAAAACUCGACUCCGUCGAAUUAUCAACACAAGAACACUCACGUCGGAUCACCAAGGAAGUCUUUGCAAUAUUCAAAUUUGGCAUGUCGAGCACAAAUAAAAGUGAAUCUGGUAUUGCCUUUGAUAGUCGAAUAACACGAGCACCAUCUUGCGCAUGACGAUCUCAUAGCCACUUGUGCAUAAUGUUACAAACCUUAAGGGGUAGAACAUUACACAUAACGGUAUCCUUAAGCUUGCCAACGAAAAUGUAACCAAACACCUCUGGGUAACCCACAACUUUGUAUUGGUAAUUGAUAGACACAUAAUUCAUACAUUUUAAUAUUCCCAUAUUUAUUAUUUUAUUUGCUUAUUUUAUUUAACUAAUACAUUUUAUUUUGUUUUGUAGGAAAUAACAUUUAUUUUUCUUGGGGAGAAAAUAAAUGAUCUAUAUCCACUUUUAAGGAUGAAAAGGGAAUCUUAGAGAAUUACCAUAUAAAGAUUGAAAUCAAGAAGGAAAGAGGAGGAUAAAAAGGAAACAAAAGUAUCAAGGUUAAAGGAACCUAAAUUAGGGUACAAAUUUAUUUUUCCUAUAAAUAGGUCUCUUGUUUUAGAGAGAGGGCACCGCUUGUUAUUUUAUUUUCCUUAGUUUUUCGCUGGUGUAGAAGAGAGUGAGAUACUUAGAGCUUUUGUCUUUUCUCUUAUUCCAAUCAUGUGCGGUACUACUAUCAGGGAGUAUUUGUAACUAAUUUCUUUUAUUGAUUAAAUAGAAAUUCUCUUUUUAAUUAUUGUUCUUAUUUCUUGCAAUUAGUAGUAUUAAU
rnacentral:lncRNA from 1 species